rnacentral:lncRNA from 1 species
AAAGUCAAGCUGGGAACUGCUUGGGGCAAGCUUGCCUCCCAUUCUAAUCAAAGUCACUGCUCUGCUCACUGAGACAAAUGCAUAUCUGAUUGCCUCCUUUAGAGAUGCAUUCAUGAGAAACUCAAAAGAAUGCAUCCAUUUGUCUCUAGUUUACCUGUGACCUGUAAGCCCCUCCCUGCUUCGAGUUGUCCCGCCAUAUUGUUUCACUGAGCCAGACUAAGGCAUACGUGACUAUUCCUCUACCCUCCUCUUGCAUGUAAAUUGUGCCUUCAGUGAAAGGCUAAUCAGAAACUCAAAAGAAUGUAAUUGGUUAUCUCUUAUCUACCUAUGACCUGGAAGUCCACUCCCCUGCUUAGAGUAGUCCCACCUUUCUGGACCAAACCAAUGUACAUCUUACACAUACUGAUUGAUGUCUCAUGUCUCCCUAAAAUGUAUAAAACCAAACUGUGCUCUGACCACCUUGAGCACAUAUUGUCAGGACCUCCUGAGGCUGUGUUGUUACAGGCACGUGUUCUCAACCUGGCAAAAUACACUUUCUAAAUUAACUGAGACCUGUCUCAAAUUUUCUGGGUUCACACUCACUUGGCGAUCCAAGAUUUAUUUUCCUUUCACACUGGUCAGAUGUGCCUGAAUUCCAAAGGGAGGACAGUAUAAUGAAGCAUGUCCAAACACCCCUUCCAAUCAUGACCUGAACUAGUCUUUCAGGUUUAGUUUGGAAUCCCCUUGGCCGAGAGGAGGGUUCAUUCAGUCUUUUGGGGGACUUAGAAUAUUACUUUUGGUCUACACCAGGGAGGACAUGGAAGCUUCCUGGCUGUUUUCUAUACAUUGCCCUGUGCAUGUCUUCCAUCUGGCUAUUCUAGAGUUCUUUCCUUUUAUAAUAAACCAGCAAUCUAGUAAGUAAACUGUUUUCAUGAGUUCUAUGAGCCAUCCUAACAAAUUACUGAACCCAAGGAGAGGGUUGUGGGAAUCUCUGAUUCAUAGCCAGUGGGUCAGAAGUACCAGAGAGCCAGACUUGCGAUUAGCAUUUGAAGUGGGGACAUUCUUGUGGGACUGAGCCUUACUUAACCUGUGGGCUCUGAUGCUAACUCCAUGUAGUGUCAGAAUUGAAUCGAAUUGUAGGACACCCAGCUGAUGUUGAAUAAUUUGUCAGUGCGGGAAAACACCCACACAUACCAUCAUACCUGGCUAAUUUUAAUUUUUUUGGGUAGAGAUAGGGCCUUCCUGCUGUUGCCCAGGCUGGUAUCAAACUUCUGACCUAAAGCAAUCCUCCUGCCUGGGCUUCCCAAAGUGCUGGGAUUACAAGCGUGAGCCACUGCACCUAGUGGAAAGAAGCACUUUGAAAGCGCUUAGAGACUUCCAUUCUUCUAACUGACCAACACUCCAGUCAGGAACUAGAAAAGUCAGAUAAAAUACACACACAAAAAAAGUCAUAUAUAUAUACGAUUUUCAGUUUGAGGCUUUCUUUUUUUUUUUUUUUUUUUUGAGAUGGAGUUUCACUCUUGCUGCCCAGGUUGGAGUGCAGUGUCGUGAGAUAUAUAUAUAUGUGUGUGUGUGUUAGUAGAGAUGGGGUUUCGCCAUUUUGGCAAGGCUGGUCUCAAACUCCUGAUCUCAGGUGAUCUGCCUGCCUCGGCUUCCCCAGGUGUUGGGAUUACAGGCGUGAGCCACCACGCCCAGCCUAAAUAAUAAUCUUGAAAAAUCAUAUUUUUAAUACCCUCAGAGAGCUGGUGAAGCAAGAAGGGCCAGCAGACCUAAAAUUCUAGAGUACGGAGAACCAUAGAGAAGCCAGCUAACAAUUGCAACAGAAUUCUCCCUGGGGUAUUUACUAAUUCUACAAUUGAGCAAGAGGCUAAGAAUCCAAGCAUUGCCCAGACAAGGUUGCAGAAAAGCCAGCUGAGCUGAGUCAUCUCAUAACACUGGAGGAAGAAAAUUGGGGAGUCAAAGAGCCUUUAAAACAUAACAGAUUUUUUCCUUAAGAUAUUUACCAAAUUCUGAAGCUGUGUAGAACUAGAGGCUAUAAAAAUCUAAGCCUCUGGUGAGGCAUGGUGGCUCAUGCCUGCAAUCCCAGCACUUUGGUGAGGCUGAGGUGGGCGGAUCAUCUGAGGCUAGGAGUUAGAGACCAGCCUGGCCAACACAGUGAGCCCCUGUCUCUACUAAAAAUGCAAAAAUUAGCCAGGCCUGGUGGUGCGUGUCUGUAAUCCCAGCUACUCAGGAGGCCGAGGCAGGAGAAUCACUUCAACCCAGGAGGAGGAGGUUGCAGUGACCAUGCCAACGCACUCCAGCCUGGGUGAUAGAGUAAGACUCCGUCUCAAAAUAAAUAAUAAUAAAAAAAUAAGCCCCAAACUUCUGAGAAGCAGAGUAGAAUUUCUGACUGAUAGCGAUGAAGAUUCGAAUUUAGGACCCACCUGGGCAAAGGGAUUGGCAAACACACAGGGCUUUCAUAUGAAUGCUCAGGAGGGCUCCUUACUGGGAACAGGAUGAAACAGGUGGACUGAAAUUUGUCAAAAUUGUAAUGCAGGCUGGGCACGGUGGUUCAUGCCUGUAAUCCCAGCACUUUGGGAGGCCAAGGCGGGCGGAUCACGUGGUCAGGAGAUCGA